rnacentral:lncRNA from 13 species
CGUACGUAUUCUUUUUCUUUUAAACAGUUACCGAGACGUAGUGCGUAUGCAAACAAAUUCACUUAUUUAAAGUAGGUGAUUCCGUGUUUUUACUCUAUUUAUAGGGUUGUGCAACCAUUGUUAGAGUCUAAUUUUAGAAGCUGUUUUUCCCCCUCAGAAAACCGGCUUAGUAGUGACUCCUCAGUUCCCCCCAACUCCCCACGCCCCUGGUGUUAGGCAGCCCUAAUCUACUUCCUGUUUCUGUAGUACACUGCCUUUCUGUAUUAACCGGUUCUUCAAAUGACGAUCUCACAUUUAUGAGGUUGCCCUGGCUAGGCAGCCAGGCUCUUUCAUUUCUUUCUGCCCCUCUCCUUUUCCUUCCUUCAGCACCCAGGAGAAUGGUUCUGCAGCAGCUGUGUUUGUGCUUGUCAAUGCCAAGCUCCAUACCCUCCAGCCCGGUCCACAUUUCCCAAAGCCCCUGGUGAGAUUCCUGAGCAGCACCAAUGCACUGACUGUCACUCUGUGUUCUCUUAGGUCCCGUUGAGGUCCCACAGGACCUCAUAUUAGAAGACAUUGAGGAUGAUGAGCUACCCCGUGAUGUGGAGAAGCCCGCCGCUUGGUGUCACCGCCGUCCCGUUGAGGUCCCGCAGGACCUCAUACUAGAAGACAUUGAGGAUGAUGAGCUACCCCGUGAUGAGGAGAAGCCUGCGUCCCACUAUCAUCGCCGUCCCGUUGAGGUCCCGCAGGACCUCAUACUAGAAGACAUUGAGGAUGAUGAGCUACCCCGUGACGAGGAGAAGCCCGCCGCUUGGUGUCACCACCGUCCCGUUGAGGUCCCGCAGGACCUCAUACUAGAAGACAUUGAGGAUGAUGAGCUACCCCGUGACGAGGUAAGAUGCAUUCUUCUGUCUCGAAGAGAAAUUUUUCUUUCUGUGGCCUCUGGUAUAUCAAGUGAAUAUCCUUUUUGACUGCCAUUGUGAAUCGGACCU